rnacentral:rRNA from 1 species
GACGAACGCUGGCGGCGUGCUUAACACAUGCAAGUCGAACGGAAAGGCCCUGCUUUUGUGGGGUUCUCGAGUGGCGAACGGGUGAGUAACACGUGUGUAACCUGCCCUUUACUUUGGGAUAACUUCAGGAAACUGGGGCUAAUACCGGAUAUGAGCUCCUGCUGCAUGUUGGGGUUUGGAACUUUUCGGCGUUUGGGGAUGGACUCGCGGCUUAUCAGCUUUUUUGUUGGGUAGUUGCUUACCAAGGCUUUGACGGGUAGCCGGCCUGAGAGGGUGACCGGCCACAUUGGGACUGAGAUACGGCCCAGACUCCAACGGGAGGCAGCAGUGGGGAAUAUUGCACAAUGGGCGGAAGCGUGAUGAAGAAACGCCGCGUGCGGGAUGACGGCCUUCGGGUUGUAAACAGAUUUCGCAUGUGACGAAGAGUGAGUGACGGUAAUGGGUAAAGAAGCACCGGCUAACUACGUG